ensembl:lncRNA
CCUGUUACAAGAAAUUGUCCUGCUAACAUAGCAGUAAUGUCACCAGUGAGAACACGGUUGGACUAUUUACUUGGCUGAAUUAAUAAUAGCCCUUAUUACUUUCACUUAUUUUGUGCCAGACACUAGCUGAAAGGCACCUACCCGUGAUUCUCCAAGUUUAAGGUGCAUUAGAAUCACCUGGAAGAUAGAUUACCACACAGAUGCGGGGCCCCACCCCUAGUCUCUGAUUCGGUAGGUCUGGGAUGAGGCUGAAAUACUGCAUUUUGUAUAAUUUCCUAGGUGAGGCUGAUGCUGCUGGUCCAGAGACCACAUUCUGAGAGCCAUACCCUAUACUAAUUUAACCCCACAGUUAUCCUCUGACUUAUGUUCUCCAUCCUUCCUAUUUUUCAGAUGAGAAAAACAUUAAAGAGGUUAAGUCCGCCACUUGUCCAGAACCACCCAAUUAGGAAUUGAACCUAGAUGUGAUGAGUACUGUUUAAUGUCCCCCCUAAGGUGGUCUUCUAGAGGAAGCCUUCAGGAACCUUGAGAAACACUGAUUUCAUUCAACCUCCUUCUUUUAGAGGUGAAGAAGCUGAGGCAGCCCAGAAAAGCUCCAUUGAUGUCCAGUGCCGUUGAAAUUGAGGCAAAAAGAAGACCAUUUCGUGUCUCUGCUAAUUCUUUCAUAAAGAUACACAGGGUUGUGUGACUUUUGGUUCUUGGCCGUGGUAAGACAGAAGACGCUACGGUUGGAUACCAUAGUGUACGGUUGUUUCUUGGUGAACCACUGAACUAGAGAAUUGGGCAAAAAUAUUUCUACACAUCUAGUGAAGGAGACAUAUGUCAACAUCCAGAAACUCUUUUCUAAGCGUAAGGAAGUGCGACAAAGAAAGGUAGGGUGUCAUCCUGAUGGAACAGAUGCACGCCUGUUGCUGAACAGUUGCUCAGCCUUGUGAAAGCUCUCUGCCCCAGUCAGAUGUUCAGUUUCUCUGGGAGACAGCCAUCCAGUUCCUGAGAAGGCAACAUCAAUCAUUAUCCAUGGGUCAGAAUUUCCAGCAAGGCUAGAGGAAACAUUUUGAUUAAUGCCUCCAUGGUGACCUGAAGGAUGCCGAGGGCUGGAAGCUGUGGUGAAAAUGAGGUAAAGUGUUGUGGCUGGUGAGAUUUGAAUUGGAAAUCACUGAGUUGAGUUACAGGCAGACCCCAAGAGAAGAUGCUCAGCAACGAAAGGAAAAUGGGAUCCCAGUGCCCCUCUUUUCUUUUCACAUAAGACAUUCCAUGCCCUGUCCAGUAGCAAGACUUAGCCCUAGUCUCCAUGGUCCAAACCCCAAGACUUCCCCAGGACCAGCUCCAGAUGAGUUGCAGCUGCAAGCUUCAUAUCUUCUAAGGACUGGAAUCUCUGCCCUAUUUGCCUGAAGAUACUCAGUAUGCCAACACUUCGGCUUCUGCAUGUCAUGGUUCAAAGGGCCUCCAGGACCACUAAGCUACAACGAGGGAAAUACUUCCUCUUUAAGAAUGAUACCCCAGGCCUUUCCUCUAAAAAUGCCAUGCCAAUGAAAAUUAUGGCCUAUUUAACUGAGGCCCCAAAUCCAUAAGGGCCAUGACUUUUUGUGACUUCUGCUUUCUGCAGAAAUUCAACUCUACAAGUUGUGCCUGUUUUGAUGAGCCUUACUGUGCAAGUAUUCAUUUUGAGAGCUAAGUCCUCUAGAAGGCUCAGCAGCUGGAGCCCUGAAGUUUUGGCUGGGCCAGAAGUUCCACAGUCUGCUGAUCCAUGGUCUACCUGCUGGGGAAACACAAGAAACAUGAACUGCUUAUGCAUCCCCUACCUUUUCUCUACAUAUCCCUAGGAAUAGCGAGGUCAGGAAAAGUCUUGGCUAACAUGGAGAACCCAAAACUUAGACCUUAAAGCAUUAAGCCUCAGUGGGCUCCCUCUUCCUCUAAUGAACGAGAUCUUUUCACACCAGGUGGAACCAAGUGAACCACUGCUUCUUGGCAGUCAAGAGGGAGAAAAACCCAAGAUACUGGAGUUUGUGAAGAAUGAGGCCAGACAGCUUUGGGCAAAGUGGGAAACUCCAUCUUGCUUAGAAGCAUUCUAGAGUAGUAUUUAAGAGUGUGAACUCUAAGGCCAAACUUCCAUGCUUAAAAUCCCAGUUCUGCCACUUAAUAACCAUAUGGCCUUGUACAAGGUAUUUAAAUUCUCUGUGUCCUCGAAGUGAGAAUAAUCACAAAUAAUAAGAUCUACUUUGUAGGGUUAUUAUCAGGAUUAAAUGAAUCAGUACCUGUAAAGCUCUUAGAUCAGUGCUUUGUCCUUAC